rnacentral:lncRNA from 1 species
AUAACAUAUCAGUCCAAGCUUGUUUAUUAAAUGUAUGGCCUAAUCUAUUACCCCUAUGCAUUUGAUCUAACAUAAGAUCAAUGAAAAACCGUUCCAUUGUCGGCGUCCAAUUUGUUCUUGUUCUAUCACUGCUACUAGGUGCAUUGCUCCCCAUUCUCCCCCCUACUAAUACAAAAAAGCUUCAUUAAUUUCUUAAUUUAGAAUUACAGUACCUUAAAAAGUUGAAAUUUAAGCGACAACUUACAAGCCCAUAAAAUUCAAAGCUAAUAUAAGCUCAAAUGAAAUAAAAAUUGAAAAGAUAAGAAAAAGCUAGUAAAUUUUUUGUUCAAAAAGAUAUCUGCAAAAAGGGCAUUAAUAAUUGUUUAGUUUAAGGUUUCUACUACCUAAGAGCUUCAAGCAGACAUAUUCUAUCUAAAUUAAGUUGAGAUAACAUUAAAUUAGCUCUAACAUCUAAAAUUGAAAACUUUAUAACUUUUUUUUUUUGUCUUUUCCAGCAUUAUCCCACUAGUGAUACGAAAAAAUAAGCGAAACUAUUAGUAAAAAAUAAGCAAAAAAAAAAAUUGAACCUUGGUACCUUUGGGUUUUUUGUCAGAGAUUUCGCGUACGAAAAUUUUAUUUCAAUUUCCGGGAAAUUUGAUCAGGAGUGUGUUUUGCGGGUGCUUUAGAUUCCAACCAAAAAGAUCAUGAAAGAAUGGGUGCUUUUGAUUGAAAGCUUGAAGGAGAAACUACAGCCUGUUUGGUUGCUGAGAAAAUGGGUAGUUAACAGGCAAGAAAGUUCUCAGAAGUGGGCUCAAAAAGCACUUCAAUUGGACCCUUUCAGCCCAAAAACCUGAAGAUUGGACCCAAGGAUCCAACACUUUAUUUAUAAAGAAACUAUUUAAUCAGAUGCGUUGCGACAUAUUUGAAUUCACAUGCCAAUCGAAUUAAGACUCAAUCACAAUAGUUUAAAAACUUAAGAUUUUGAAUAUCCAUAUGUUUUUAUAUUUUAUUAAGUUAUAAAUGUGUUAAAAUAUUUUGACUUAUACAAUUUUUGAUAAUUUAAUAAUUUCUAUUAUAUAAUUUUUAGAUUAUUUGUAAUUUUAGAUCUUAUGUUGUGUGAUUUUUAUAUGAUAAGAAAGUUUAGAAAUACGGAGAGCAAUUCCUUUUCAGAAUUAAUCAUUUUGAUUACAUUUCCAAAAAAAAGUGAAAGGGCCAAAGCACAGAGAGAUGGCCUUUAUUGCAAUACACAUUUACAUACAUAGAUCAAUACAUACACAUAUAUGUGUAUGUAUAGCUCUAAUUAUUCCGUUUAUCACAUUGGGGUAGUGGAAACUUAAACCAAGCAAAAGUGACCCUUGGGAAGCUUGCACUUUUGUUUUUAUGGAAUAGCAGUGAAGUUGAAAUUAUUGCAAGAAGUCUUGUAGAACAACAGGGAAGAACUGAAACCAAGCCUUGAUCUUGCCAUAUCAAACUGUACCAGAUUAUUCUCCAUUUGGUAAGCCCCAAUAAUAAUCGAAGCUCCAUUGUUCUUCAUUCCUCCAUCCACAAAAGCUAAGCAAGACACUCCUGGUGCAGCUUCAACAAGGGAGUUUGCUCCAUAAAUCCUCCACAUAACAUGCUUGUCAUGGAGCACAAGGUCGAUGUUAGGAACCCCUGGUCCAACCCUGCUGUUUUUGAAUCUUUUCGAGUUGAAACAGGCACCGAAUGGCGCAACUGGUUUUACUUGGGGAAUAGCAGAGAGCUCCUUGGAGAAAAUUUGUGUGACAGCUUUAAAGAUUGAGUGGUGUAGAAUGGUGUAAGGGUUGAUUGUGCUGAGCUUCGUGCCUCCGACGCCUUGUUUAUUGAUCGAUAACAGCGCUGUGUCUAUCGGGACAUCCUUGUCGUUUAUCUUGAUUGAUUUAACUUCCAUGUAGUACUCUCCUAGGGGACUGAUGAUAAGUGGAGUGUAGCUUAAUGGUCGUGUUAUAUCAACAUUAGGCAGCAUAUAAUAAGGGCUGUCCCCAAAGAACAUGACACCUUUAGGGGCUAAACAAAGGGCAAACGUUGGGGCAAAACCAGCAGACCCAAAGUGUGAGGCCAGUUGAGUUGGUAGAGAAAUGGGGGAAUGUCCCAAUCCAGCCACCCCUUGAACAGUACUUGGUAACCCUCUUUGCAGUAAAAGGGAAGGUGCACAAGUGAACAAGAACUGAGGGACCCUAACCAUUGGACCAGGGUUAGACCCUUGAGUGGAUUGAAUUGAUAGCACAUCUUGUGCAAGAUCACUCAUGGCGGUAAGGCCUGUCACAGGGUUCAUUGACAUGACCCCACAUGUGUUGUUAUGGCACCCUGGUCCAUCCCUGGUGGAGCAUAUGUGGCAAUAGUGACUGUCAGCUCUAGAGCAUUGAGUCGAGCGGCACCUAGGGGCAUGGUAGGUGGACGAACAGUAACUUUUCUCACAAGUAACCCAUAGUAACCUUCCAUUCAAGUCCACAACAAAUGGGACUUUCUGUGAAGGAGUUCUCUUGUAUAUGUUAGUCACAUAAAGUUUAGUUUUCGGAUCUUUUUGCAGCUGCAAAACGAACCUGUUCGGUUUCGAAGUCUUUUGAGAUUCAGAUAAAAGGAUGAAAGAAGAAACGGAAAGGAAAAUGAGAAGGAAAAGAAGGAAAGAAGAAGCCAUGAAAGCUCAAUGCCUGCACAGUGAUGCAAGAAGAGGGUAAGCGGUGAGGAAAUAAAGGGGGAAAAUGGAGUUACUUAUAGGCAAAUUGAGUUCUUAAAAUCUAGUCAUAUUUUUGGGUGAUCCAAGCAUUGUUCAUGUGAAAGUUUUAGGCAUUAUAUGCAUUUGGCAAGCAGAAGAUGAAAGUUAGGCAGGCUAAAGUUAGGAAAAUUCAGGCUAAAAGAUGGACCCCAAAGCAAAGGAACAAAAUUGAAUUGGAAAGUGUGGAAGGCACUUGGCAAUGGCUUAGAGCUUCUACAGCCGUGCCAUCAACACAUACAAGGACUUCAUGGGUUUGGCUUGGCUUGGACUGAACUGGAAUUUGAUAAAUUUCAUCUUUAAUUUCUCAAGCAUGUUAAUUUCUAACAUAUGGACAAAUAUGACCUUAUGGUAGAUAGAAGUUUGUACGUAAGGGAACCCUACUGGGAUUUCUGGGAUUUCUCAAUCAAGUCAUGUGAAACAUUAUUACAAUAGCAUUUAUUGACUUGUACUAGCUGCAAACUUGUCCAUCAUUCUAAAAAGCUAAGAGUUUUAGAUAAUCAUAAAGAACCCCAGAACGGACUCAGCGUAACAAUGCCAAUGGAAAUACAUAACCUUACUAGUAACAAGAACACACCGAAAUUCACCCCUAGCGCAUCAUCAUCAAAAUCAAUAUCAUGACUAGAUCUACUGUAUCUUCCAUCAGCUUGUGUAUACGCAUAUAUCAAGCACAAGUCACUGAAAUUCGUCAAAGUUCUAUUCCUGUAUACCUGUGCAUCCGGUUGACCCUGCAAAUCCAUUAUAAUAAAAUAAGAGCAUAUAAAAAUGCAAAAACCUCGACAUAAACAAGAACAUCAUCCCCACCUUGAUAUAUGCAUUCCAUACAUGUGGAGGGGCAACUACCAAUUUCCUUGUAUCAUCCCAACUAAACCCGUUUUGUUCGAGAAGAUUCUUCACAUCAUUAUACUGCUUCCACAAAUUGGUAGAAUGACUUUUCAAAGUGUCCCUAUCGUAUUUACACCCAAAUUUCGCAUUGAAAAUAGAUAACAUAUCGGUCCAAGCUUGUUUAUUAAAUGUAUGGCCUAAUCUAUUACCCCUAUGCAUUUGAUCUAACAUAAGAUCAAUGAAAAACCGUUCCAUUGUCGGCGUCCAAUUUGUUCUUGUUCAAUCACUGCUACUAGGUGCAUUGCUCCCCAUUCUCCCCCCUACUAAUACAAAAAAGCUUCAUUAAUUUCUUAAUUUAGAAUUACA